rnacentral:rRNA from 1 species
UACGUAGGUGGCGAGCGUUGUCCGGAUUUAUUGGGCGUAAAGCGCGCGCAGGUGGUGCGGUAAGUCUGUCGUGAAAUCUCCCGGCUCAACUGGGAGGGUGCGGUGGAGACUGCCGGACUGGAGGCACUCAGAGGCCGGUGGAAUUCCCGGUGUAGUGGUGAAAUGCGUAGAGAUCGGGAGGAACACCGGUGGCGAAGGCGGCGUUCUGGACUGCAACUGACACUGAGAAACGAAAGCCAGGGUAGCAAACGGG